AGCUUCUCCACCAAGAGGAAGUCACAGUAAGUCAAUCUGAGCUAUGAAUUUCUCCAUGGAAUGAAGGUGUAUCACAAGAAAGAAAAAGAAGGAAGACUUGCACCAUUCAGGACCACCAGAGGUUCUGAAGACUUUUGGUGACAGCAUUAUUGUUACAAUGAGAAUAGCAUCCAAUCUACAGAAAGCUCGCCUAGAAAAAAUGUAUUUUUAUUUCUGAAAGUGCAAGAAAAAAGAUUCUAAUCUUC